UGUGAUACUUGAGAAUCCGCGUUGACAAGCGUCAUUUCCGUAGUUGCAUUUCUAAAAAAUUGAUUAGCAUUUUACUGUUCCUAAGCAUGAUAUACAAACUAAGGAAGUAAUCAAAUUUGGCAGCAUCUAUGCUUCAUACUCGGCUACAUUUGCAUUAUCUAAUCAGUUCUAAGAAACCAGGCUUUGGUAGCUAUCUCAUGUCAGGAAAUAUUUUCUAAUAAGAGUUCAUCAUUUAAUGAUGUUGUUCAGUUUGUUUGGCGUAUUUCUAGUACUCUGUCUCUUUGUUCAAAUUGUUGCUAAAGGAUUUGAAGAUAUUUGAUAUUCAGAAUGUGACCAGUUUCGGAAGGAUGACUAGUAGAGGACCCAUAAUGACGAAAUUAGAUCAGAUAAUUCACUCCAAAAGAUGACAACCAAUAAGAAGCUCUAAUGUAUAUGAUGAAUACUCGAAAAGAUUAUUUAAUCCCGUAAUAUUAGCCAUCUUCAUUUUCUAAUAUUUCAUUUGCGCUAUUUAUUGUGAAUAUUUAUACACAAUAUUUGUACUAAAUUUUAAUACUAAAUGAACACACGAAACAUUAACUGUAUAUUCAGUUGUAAAUCUAGUAUAAAUUUCACUACUGGAAUCAGCAAAAUACAUUU